CUAUGGCCAUAUCACGCUGGAACACCGGUUCCCGUACGAUUACUGAAAUUAAGCAAAGUCGAAGCUGGCCAGUACCUAGGUGGGUGACCGAUUGGGAAUUCCAGU